AGAUUCCCCCAGUAGCGGCGAGCGAACGGGGAGCAGCCCAGAGCCUGAAUCAGUGUGUGUGUUAGUGGAAGCGUCUGGAAAGGCGCGCGAUACAGGGUGACAGCCCCGUACACAAAAAUGCACAUGCUGUGAGCUCGAUGAGUAGGGCGGGACACGUGGUAUCCUGUCUGAAUAUGGGGGGACCAUCCUCCAAGGCUAAAUACUCCUGACUGACCGAUAGUGAACCAGUACCGUGAGGGAAAGGCGAAAAGAACCCCGGCGAGGGGAGUGAAAAAGAACCUGAAACCGUGUACGUACAAGCAGUGGGAGCACGCUUCGGCGUGUGACUGCGUACCUUUUGUAUAAUGGGUCAGCGACUUAUAUUCUGUAGCAAGGUUAACCGAAUAGGGGAGCCGAAGGGAAACCGAGUCUUAACUGGGCGUUAAGUUGCAGGGUAUAGACCCGAAACCCGGUGAUCUAGCCAUGGGCAGGUUGAAGGUUGGGUAACACUAACUGGAGGACCGAACCGACUAAUGUUGAAAAAUUAGCGGAUGACUUGUGGCUGGGGGUGAAAGGCCAAUCAAACCGGGAGAUAGCUGGUUCUCCCCGAAAGCUAUUUAGGUAGCGCCUCGUGAAUUCAUCUCCGGGGGUAGAGCACUGUUUCGGCAAGGGGGUCAUCCCGACUUACCAACCCGAUGCAAACUGCGAAUACCGGAGAAUGUUAUCACGGGAGACACACGGCGGGUGCUAACGUCCGUCGUGAAGAGGGAAACAACCCAGACCGCCAGCUAAGGUCCCAAAGUCAUGGUUAAGUGGGAAACGAUGUGGGAAGGCCCAGACAGCCAGGAUGUUGGCUUAGAAGCAGCCAUCAUUUAAAGAAAGCGUAAUAGCUCACUGGUCGAGUCGGCCUGCGCGGAAGAUGUAACGGGGCUAAACCAUG
rnacentral:rRNA from 1 species